CAGCCGCCGCGGUAAUACCGGCGGCCCGAGUGGCGGUCACUAUUAUUGGGCUUAAAGCGUCCGUAGCCGGGGUGGGAAGUCCUCCGGGAAAUCUGGCCGCUUAACGGUCAGAAUGCCGGAGGAUACUCCCAGCCUAGGGAGCGGGGGAGGCCGAGGGGAUUCCCGGAGUAGGGGUGAAAUCCUAUAAUCCCGGGAGGACCACCUGUGGCGAAGGCGCUCGGCUGGAACGCGUCCGACGGUGAGGGACGAAGGCCAGGGGAGCAAACCGGAUUAGAUACCCGGGUAGUCCUGGCUGUAAACGAUGCGGACUUUGUGUCGGACAAGCUAUGAGCUUGUCCGGUGCCGGAGGGAAACCGUUAAGUCCGCCGCCUGGGGAGUACGGCCGCAAGGCUGAAACUUAAAGGAAUUGGCGGG
rnacentral:rRNA from 1 species